rnacentral:ncRNA from 1 species
CGGGGGCAGCAGCCUCCCCGCAUCAAAGACGCAUUUCGCGUCCAAGGCUUGC